rnacentral:rRNA from 1 species
GACGAACGCUGGCGGCGUGCUUAACACAUGCAAGUCGAACGAUGAAGCUGGAGCUUGCUCUAGCGGAUUAGUGGCGAACGGGUGAGUAACACGUGAGCAAUCUGCCCUUGACUCUGGGAUAACUGCGGGAAACUGUAGCUAAUACCGGAUACUUUCACCGGGGGGCAUCCUCUGGUGAUGAAAGAAUUUCGGUCAAGGAUGGGCUCGCGGCCUAUCAGCUUGUUGGUGAGGUAACGGCUCACCAAGGCGACGACGGGUAACCGGCCUGAGAGGGUGGCCGGUCACGCGGGGACUGGGACACGGCCCAGACUCCUACGGGGGGCAGCAGUGGGGAAUAUUGCACAAUGGGCGCAAGCCUGAUGCAGCAACGCCGCGUGAGGGAUGAAGGCCUUCGGGUUGUAAACCUCUUUUAGCAGGGAAGAAGCGAAAGUGACGGUACCUGCAGAAAAAGCACCGGCUAACUACGUGCCAGCAGCCGCCGCAG